UCUGUUAAGUUCCUUCCCAAAGACUACGAUCGUCUCUCUUCUGUACCCCAUCCUCCGCGGCUCCGCCACCUUCGUUCACUCUGUCGCGAGCUCUCCUCCGUUCCGUUGGUCACCACGCUCUUGUCUUCUUCGGCUCGCCCGCAAGAAGCCGGCGAAGUCAAUGACCUCCCCCACCGCCUCCGUAUCCUGCAGGCUCGCCCCCUUCGCCUCUGCCGCGGAGAGUGGCGCCAGGGAUCCCCACGGGUCCACCGCUCCCUCUUCCUCCCCCCUCUUCUCGCCCCAAAGAGGACGAAGGUAUCCACGACACAGUUCUCAGGUCUUCUCUGUGUUUUUGUCUUCUUUGGGGCUUUUGUUGAUCUGGGUUUUCAUUCUUUUUCCAAGAAAAUCGUGUCUUUGGUGCAUUUGUUUGGCAAGUACCAGUCACCCUGAAUUACAACUAGCAACCAUUAGUCUACAACCGGCCAAUCUUUUGAUUCACAUGUAUUGCAUGUUUAUGUCACUGCCUCACAAUACAUUUUCUUUCCUCUGAUCCCGGAGUCUUUUACCUCAAGCACAGGUAGUAGUGCACUCCGUGUGCUUGAUCCUAGUCAAAAUAAUACAUGCUGGUUUGCAUGUUUCUGCUGUAAGGACUUUCUUUGCUAUGUUCAUCAUCAUUUGAGAAUUGAUAUGAGAAAUACCCAUGUCGAACACUUGGAGAAACACCGCAAGGUCUCACCAUCUUUUUUGUUUGCGGAUGUUUCAUCAAUAAACUUUUCACUAGGCACCAUGGAAUAUCUAUUAUUUAAUUCCUCUACAAUUGAACUUCUUGGAGAUUGUUAUUUAUAUAAUAAAUAUACAAUAGUUACUAUGAGCAAUUGGUUUAUUUCUUGCCAGCUAAUCUUUACUAAUUUGCAUAUCCUUAGUUGUUCUGCUUUGGUUGUCCAUGAUAUCUAUAGCAUCCCAAACAAGGUCCGUUGUCUCUAAAACACCCAUAUUAGGUGCUAAUUUUCAUUAGCUUCCUUCUGUUCUGAUCUCUUGUCAUCAUCUGGUUCUUUUUGCAAAAUGUAACAUCUUUUCUAAAUAUGAAACAUCUUAUGUUUUCCUUUGCAUAGCCAAGAUUGUUUUUCUCUUGCUUUGACAAGCCAUGGAGCCGUCUAUUGUUUGGUGAUUCUACCCUUAGAAAGAGUCUUGGUUAUUCUGUGAGAGAGUGCUAGCAUGAUUUUAAGGAUCAUAUAUCAACCUAUAAUAUUUUUCUUUGUUAGUUAAUUCUGUAUAAUUUUUCUUUGUUAGCAUAAUUUUAUAUCAGUUAUUAUUUUCUUUAUAUGGAGUCUGUAUACUAGAAUAAAUAAUCUCUGAGAUGUAUUGAAUGAAAUUGAAACAGAGAUAAUAAAAUCUAUUUUUUCUCUCCUUUUCUUUUAUUUUCUCUUCUUCUGUAAAUAUUUUAACAUGGUAUCAGAGCCGUCAAUCACCUAAUAUGAAAACGUUAUCUCCUCCAUCUUUACUAUGGCUGUCAUUGUCGUAUCCACGAACCUUGAAGAUCUUUGUUGCCAAUCUACCGAUCUUUGUUUUUCUGCAGAUCCUCUGUUUUUCAGUAGAUCUGCAGAUCAUCUGUUUUUCAGUAGAUUUAUAGCUGAAGAUUCUUGUCGUAGUUUGAGGCAUUUUUCUUUGCUUUGAGUGUUUUUCUGUCUAUGGCUCUUUCGCUGUUCAGUUUGAGACCUUUUUCUUCUCUUUAGAUACUUUUUGCUUCUGGCUCCUUCAUCACUUAGUUUGAUAUUUUUUCAUUUUCUUUGGAUAUUUUUUUAUCUUUGGCUCCUUUGCUGUCCAAUUUAAGAUAUUUUCCUUCUUUUGGAUGUUUUUAUGUUUUUGCUUCUUUUUCCCCGAAUUUGAGACAUUUUCCUCUUCUUUGGAUAUUUUUUGCCUCUGGCUCCUUCAUUGGCCAGUUUGAGGCCUUUUCGUUCUCUUCGAUGGUGUUUUUAUCUAUGAGGAUCAUCAAUCUUCAGCUAUCUUCUCUUUAAGCACUGACAUUUUCUUUUAUGGCAUUUUUGUCCGUGUGGAUCAUUGGUUCCUUCUCUUCUAUGGUGUUUUAAUCUAGAUAAAAAAAAUUCAAACUCAAGUUGGCAUCUACAGUAUCACCUUGAGUUUGAGAGAGAGUGUUAGCAUGAUUUUAAGAAGCACAUAUCAAUCUAUAAUAAUUUUCUUUAUUAACGUGAUCUCAUAAUAGUUUUCUUUGUUAUUAUGAUUCUGUACUAUUUUCCUUCAUUAGCAUGAUUCUGUAUCAGUUGUUAUUAUUUUUCUUGUCUGUAUACUUGUAUAAAUAACCUUUGAGAUGUAUUGAAUAAAAUUGAAAUAGAGAUAAUAAAUCCCUUUUUCCCUCUCUUUUUUUUUGUUUCCUCUUCUUUUGUAAAUAUUUUAAUUGAGAGAGCAUCAUGCAUGUAAAUAUUCUAAUAGACCUGCGAUUGGGAUACUUGUAAUAUUGAAUCUCUGAAGGAUAUUGAAAAUAAGGCCCUCUUAGCUAGUGGCGGUGGGCUUGGACAAGGUCUUAUUUGAAUCCAAGGUCUUUUUUGUGGUACGUUCCCUUUUCAUCCCCAAGUAAAUUUGUUAUUGUUUUCUUUGUGAUGCUAACGUUAUCAUUAUUAUUGAUUUUGUUAUUGAGAGCAAUGCCUUUUCCUAAAAUAUCUUACUCUAUAAUUUGUUUGAUACUCUUAUCAAUGUUGCCAUGCUGGCACAUUUCUGAAACCCAGAACUACAUCCCAUCUCAUGUCAAUAGGAAUAUAAUGUUACUGCAAGAGAGAGAUAUUGGCUGUUACAUGACAAGAUUAAAACUGGUGCAUAAUUGUUUCAGCAUUUUAUCUAACCAGAGUUCUAUGUUAGUGUUAAAAAAUAGUAGUUUCUAGUUAAUUGAUAUGAUAUGUUGUUAUUGAGAACAUUUAUAAUGCCAUAUCAUCAUAUCACCAUUUUUGAGUUCUGUCCACUGAAUCAUAGCUUUAUUUUUGUAUUUGAUACAAGAGGUAGAUGAGCAACAUAAUUUUUAAUGACAUCCACCUUGGCUGGAUGGCUUAUCAAGGUGAGGCUGCCUACGUGCCCGAUCUUAAGAUAUCGCUUCAUGAUUGAGUAUGGAGGAUCAUAUUGGUUUAUAAAAUGGUAUUAGAUGCUGACAAGUAGAUAUUAACCAUUGACUUACUAUAUCUUAUGCUUCUUUUGAUUCAUUAUGUCUCUGCUUUUGGGUUUCUCUGUGUUAGUUACUAAAGUUUAUUACUCUUGGGCUGCCAUCAGGCUGCCUUGACCUUUGGGCAUCUUCCUCGGCUCUAAGCAGUCAUCUGGCCAACAGUCCAUCACUUAGUCUUUUAAAACUAUGAAAAGCAAUUAUCACAAGAAGGGGAUAGGAAGAAAGGAGAAAUAACUCUUUGUUGGAGUUCCAAUUCUGCAAAACAAUUAUAGAGGACAACUGAUUUUUAGGUUGAAGAUUGUGUUGGCAUGCGGUCAACCCUUAAACCAUUAUAAAGCACCAAUAUAAAUGACUUUAGGACAGUAUCGUGAAAAGAACAAUUUUCAGUAUCUUCACACUUGCAUUUGCAACUAUUAACCACGAGUAGGUUUCUCAUGUGCUAACACACUCAUGGAAGUGAUUGAUAUUUUCUAGAAAUUUUGUAGAACUCUAGCCAUAUGAACAAGAUUGCUUAAACAAGUUGUUUGAUCAACUGACACUUGUUUCCUCUACUAUUAAUAUAUCCAGUGGUCAAAACAGGUGUUUGUCAUUGGACUGCCCAUAACUUUGUCUCUCUUGAUCCAGCCGUCUAUACAAGGGAAAAUGAUGCAGGUGUUGCUGGCAUGAUUUCCUAGCAUGCUAGGUUGUUAUUAACUUUAUUGAUCAAUAUAGUGCUUUCAACUUUCAUAUGAAGAAAAGCUAGAAUGUUCUGAGGAUGUCGGUUCAACACAGCAUUGAAAUAAGUGACCAUUUUAAUGUCUCAGAUCAAGUUGAUUAUAUGGUGGCUUCUAUGGGCAAUCAUCAUACUCAUCUACCUAAAAGAGGACAUUGCUGAUAGCUUAUAUGGCUAUCUGAUGCAGAUCAAGUUGAUUAUAUGGUGGCUUCUAUGGGCAAUCAUCAUACUCAUCCACCUAAAAGAUACACAAGUGGUAGCAACAUUGUGCUCGGGCAUCAAACAUGCCUACCAUAAAAUUUGUUUCCAAACUUACUAAAUUCUUUCAAAAAGCCAUCCCGCAUUUAAAGAAAAAUGCUUGAUGGAAAACCUGCACCAACAGUAGUAAUGUACAUCAUCUCAUCUGUAUUGUAUCCUGCAAAUGAAGUUUUCAUUUUUGUAGACAAGUGUAUUGUUUCCUGUUAUUAUUGUUGUUGUUGUUCCCAGUUGAGCAAACAAUAUCUCUCAACUGUACAACAUGCCAACUAUUAAUGGUAUCCAUGUGGUUUAGUU